rnacentral:rRNA from 1 species
CAAGGAAUCUUGGGCAAUGGGCGAAAGCCUGACCCAGCAACGCCGCGUGAGGGAUGAAGGCUUUCGGGUUGUAAACCUCUUUUCAUAGGGAAGAAUAAUGACGGUACCUGUGGAAUAAGCUUCGGCUAACUACGUG